GAGACCCCAGGGAUUUGUGAGUACACAGGAAGGAUGCAGAGAGAAAGCAGCUAUCUACAUGCUAAGGACAGAAGCCUCGGGACGAAGCAACUCUGUCAAUGCCUUGAUCUCAGACUUCAGCCUCCAACUGGCUUUUGAAAUGAUCCACAUGCUGCAACCAGAUGUCUGUAGAUGUAUGAAAAUAGAAAACAAUGUCCAUUUUUAUUUUAAAUGUAAAAAAUAAGGAGAAACCAAAAGGAAAUUUGGACACAGACGAAAAACCAUGUGAAGACAUAAGGCAAAGAGGGUCACCUACAAGCCGAGGAAAGCGGCCUCAGAAAAGAUCAAUUCUGCUGGCGCCUUGAUCUCUGACUUCUUCUAACCUCCAGAACAGUGAGAAAAUACAUUUCUGUUGUUCAUGCACACAGUCUGUGGUGCUUUGCUGUGGCAGCCCUAGAAACCAAUUCAAAAGAUCACUCCCUCAUCUCCUGGAGUAUUUUUGAAAAUGUAACCUCCUUAUUAAGACUACCUUGAUUACUCUACUUAAAAUUACAACCUCCCUUAACCCCCUUCUGUUCUCAGGUCUCAGCAUCCCAACCUCUACUCCUAACUCCCUUUACUCCCUACUUGGUACGUGUUUUCCUCAAUAGCAUUUGAGAAAUAGACUUCACCUACUAACACACUCUAAAAUUACUUCUUGUGUGUAUU